rnacentral:lncRNA from 1 species
GCUCUGGGUCUUUAUGAACUUGUGAGACCUUCCCUUGAAGUUAAUUGGAUGUUGUUGCGAUAAUGAAAUAAGGAGUAUGAAUUUAUUACAUUUUUUGUAACUGUUUUUAGGUAUUCGAUGUGAUUCCGAAUGCACAGCUCCAGAUCUUUAUGAACUUAUGAGGUCUUCCCCAUGAAGUUUAUUGGAUGUCAUUUGGGUUGUUUCAGGCCAAGGGUAGGUUCCCU